UACGGGGGGAGCAAGCGUUGUUCGGAUUUACUGGGCGUAAAGGGCGCGUAGGCGGCCAGCACAAGUCAGUUGUGAAAUCUCCGAGCUUAACUCGGAAAGGUCAACUGAUACUGUGCGGCUAGAGUGCGGAAGGGGCAACUGGAAUUCUUGGUGUAGCGGUGAAAUGCGUAGAUAUCGGGAGGAACACCUGUGGCGAAAGCGGCGCACUGGACCAUAACUGACGCUGAGGCGCGAAAGCUAGGGGAGCAAACAGG
rnacentral:rRNA from 1 species